GGUUAGGGGUUGAAGGUUAAUGGGGCUAGGGUUAGGGUAGGGUAGGGUUAGGGCCAGGGCCAGGGCCAGGGCCAGGCCAGGGCCAGGGCCAGGCCAGGCCAGGGCCAGGCCAGGGCCAGGGCCAGGGCCAGGCCAGGGCCAGGCCAGGCCAGGCCAGGCCAGGGCCAGGCCAGGGCCAGGCCAGGCCAGGCCAGGCCAGGCCAGGCCAGGCCAGGCCAGGCCAGGCCAGGCCAGGCCAGGCCAGGCCAGGCCAGGGGCCAGG